AAAACAGUGAUGCUCCUGAAUGUCAGCAGGGAGAAUAGUGUUGUACAAGCCUAUGAAACUUGAAAGAAGCUCAGAGACUUUGGAAAUCUCUUUGCCUGACAACCUGUGGGUGUGGCUUCUAGGCUCACAGUCUUAUUUUGUCCAUCUCUGAAUGCACAAAGGAGUACCUGGUGGUGAAUUGCAUUUUAAAAGUUAAGUCUUAUCAUUCCCACUGCACAGAAGAGAAACUCAAGACUCAGAGCACAUCUAACAAUGUGGACAUGGUGUGCACAGAAUCACGCAGAAUACUUACCAAGAGCUGCUAUGUCAAAAUGAUCUGGGAACCGGGUAGUUUGGGGAGCUUUCUAUUCACCAAAAUCUCCUAGCAGCUUUCAUUUCCAUUUCUAGCACUGUAAGAUGAAGGAGUAAAACAAACCAAACACUUCACAUUACCAUUGAAGUCUUCUCUACUCUAAUUAAAUUUGUACUUCAGUGAAUUCUUCAAGUCUUAACUUUUCUGAAGAAGCAAUAGAGGUUAACACUCUUCUUUCAAAAAACCUAGACCCAAAGUCCUUUGUAAGUUUUCUCCAAUACUUAAGUCCUACAUGCCUUUCUGUUUGGUUUCUUGGGCUCUGGGCUUGUGAUGAUAUUUACUUUCACUGCCAGAGGACUACAGGCAGAUUGGAAGAGCUGGCGUGAGAAAGUUAAAGAAAUUCUGCUGAGAAAGAAAAAGUGGAGAGAUAAGACUUACCCAGGACAGAGACAUUUCAUGAGAAAAGUGUUUUAAGCCAAGAAAAUUAAGAUUUAAGGCUGAGCUGGGCAUCUGUAAUGCCAGGUAGUCAGGAGGCUGAGGCAGGAGGAUCAUGAGUUCAAGGCCUUGGGAAACACACUGGACCCUGUCUCAAGAAAAAGAAAAGAAAAAAGCCUGAAACUGAGCCAGGACUGGGGAUCCAAAGCUAAAGGGCUUUUUAUCCAGUUACCAAGAAAGGUGUGCUGACAGUACUAGAUUUUCGGUACAGAAUGGAAAGAAAAUAGCAGUAGCAGGAUGAAACAAAAAUGUAAUUCAUCUUGUCAUACUUUUAUUGAACAUCUACUUUUUAUGAGUAGGCAAGAGAAUAAGAACAAGGGAGGGUCACUUCCUUCAUGUAACUUGCAACUUAGUUUGCAUAACUGCCUGUCCUGUACUUCAGAAGUCUGUAGAAGAACAACUCGUGCUUCAAACUGAGCCAAACUGAAAGACAUAAAACUAACUAUAUUGUGUAUCCCCACAAUUCCAUCAUACAAGAAAAGUGGUGUUCAUUCAGGAGAAGUUUUUUUGUUGUUGUUGUUGGGUUUGUUUUUUUUUUUUUUCCAGGAGACAGUGGGCCAUGUCUAAAGAGAAUUUUAUUUGAUAUAACUGGGAAAAGAGAGGCUUCUAGCAUCUGUGGGUAAAGGCCAGGGAUGCUCCUCAACAUCUUGCUGUGUACAGGACAAACCCCACAGCAAACCCUGAUGUGGCCCAAUAUGUCUGGAGUGCCAAGGCUGAAGAACCUUGCACUAGAGUAAAUGGCUUUGCACACUUUCAGCAACUGAUCAGGCGUGGCCACUGCUUCCUGUGUAGCUUGACGCAUUAUGGGGAUGAGGGUCAUGAUACAAGAAAAGCAAAUGGGGGGAAUGCAUGAGAAAUUCCACCAUUCCUUUGGCCACUGCAGCAGAAAGUUACCCAAGCUGCAAUGAAACAGCUCUGGGAGUUUUUUGUUUGGAUAAAUUUCAUCAGAGUGUGCACUCAGGGAAUACCUGCUCCUCUAAAAUUAGUAGAAGCCAAACAUCAUCAGAUCAGAGGAUAAAUCAGGUGCAAUGAACACCAUAAAACUCUUCCUGAACUAAACAGAAAUGAUUUACACAUCAUGUAUGUCCCUGCCAGCUCCCAGCAGUGUGGCUAAUUGAGAAUGAAUAUUAUCUCCAUCACAGGUGGACAUUUGAAGGGCAAAAUUGGGUUCUGAACUAUAGUUGCUUAUAAGUAAACAAACAAAAGCCAUAUCAUGUUUGUGUGUAUUUUAAGAAGAUUAUAUGCAUCAAUUUACUCCAAAACAUUCAUCAUUAGAAACAAGUUAAAGAUGUGCCA